GAUGAACGCUGGCGGCGUGCCUAAUACAUGCAAGUCGAGCGAACAGACGAGGAGCUUGCUGCUCUGACGUUAGCGGAGGACGGGUGAGAAACACGUGGAUAACCUACCUAUCAGACUGGGAACACUUCGGGAAACCGGAGCUAAUACCGGAUAAUAUAUUGAACCGCAUGGUUCAAUAGAGAAAGACGGUUUUGUUGGCGGUUAUCGAUGGUUACGCGCCUUAUUAGCUAGUUGGUAGGGUAGUGGCUUACCACGGGUACGAUGGGUAGGCGGCAUGCGAGGGUGACCGCGGACAUUGGGCCUGCGAGACGGAGCAGACUGCUACGGGAGGCAGUAGGCGGGAAUAUUGCAGAAUGGGCGGAAGCGUGAUGCAAAGGUGCUGGGAGCGGGAUGCCGGCUUUCGGGUUGUAAACAGAUGUGGACUGUGCCGAAGCGUGCGUGACGGUAAUGGGUCAAGAAGCCACGGCUAACUACGUG
rnacentral:rRNA from 1 species